AGUAAGGUCAGCUAAUUAAGCUACCGGGCCCAUACCCCGGAAAUGUUGGUUUACAUCCUUCCCGUACUA
rnacentral:tRNA from 1 species